rfam:Dipodomys ordii contig_84745, whole genome shotgun sequence.
GGGAAGGUGGCUCAGUGGUAGAGCACUUGCCUUGCAUGCCUGAGGCCCUGGGUUC